GACGAACGCUGGCGGCGUGCCUAAUACAUGCAAGUAGAACGCUGAAGAGAGGAGCUUGCUCUUCUUGGAUGAGUUGCGAACGGGUGAGUAACGCGUAGGUAACCUGCCUUGUAUCGGGGGAUAACUAUUGGAAACGAUAGCUAAUACCGCAUAACAAUGGCUGACACAUGUCAUUUAUUUGAAAGGGGCAAUUGCUCCACUACAAGAUGGACCUGCGUUGUAUUAGCUAGUAGGUGAGGUAAUGGCUCACCUAGGCGACGAUACAUAGCCGACCUGAGAGGGUGAUUGGCCAAACUGGGACUGAGACACGGCCCAGACUCCUACGGGAAGCAGCAGUAGGGAAUCUUCGGCAAUGGGGGCAACCCUGACCGAGCAACGCCGCGUGAGUGAAGAAGGUUGUCGGAUCGUAAAGCUCUGUUGUAAGUCAAGAACGGGUGUGAGAGUGGAAAGUUCACACUGUGACGGUAGCUUACCAGAAAGGGACGGCUAACUACGUG
rnacentral:rRNA from 1 species